GCUAGAAUGCAAUUUCCUCAGGUGGUGCCUGCUCAGUGGCCCUUAAGUGCAUACAGAGUAAUUUACUGUAAAAUAGGACUAAACAGCCGCCUUAGGCAGCGAGGGUGGUAAUUAAGCAUAAUCUGAUACCGUUUUAUUGGCGGAGUGUUGAAUGGCUUUACGAGUGCGUCGCUGUCUCUAUUGUAAGGCCUAUAAAUUUGAAGUACUAGUUAAGAUGCUAGUUAAAACUGUAAGACGAGAAGACCCUAUAGAGCUUUACUAUAGGCUUUUUUAAGCUAAAUUAUAAAAUAAACCAAGUAAUUUAAGUUAAGAGAAAGUGUGGUAGUUUAGGUGGGGCGCCUACCUAUUAUUAAAAACAUAGUGUUAACAAGAUGGAUACCAGCCCAUUUAUUGUGUAAUUAAUACUUUUACCAGUUAUAAACAUAGGUGGAAUGACCCGUUUGGCCAUAAUUAAUGUAAUUACCAACGAUGCAAGAUAAAAGCUACCUUAGGGAUAACAGAGUAAUCCUGGUUUUAAGACCAUAUUUAAACCAGGGGUUGCCA
rnacentral:rRNA from 1 species